CCUACGGGAGGCAGCAGUGAGGAAUAUUGGUCAAUGGGCGCGAGCCUGAACCAGCCAAGUAGCGUGAAGGAUGACUGCCCUACGGGUUGUAAACUUCUUUUAUAAAGGAAUAAAGUGAGGCACGUGUGCCUUUUUGUAUGUACUUUAUGAAUAAGGAUCGGCUAACUCCGUGCCAGCAGCCGCGGUAAUACGGAGGAUCCGAGCGUUAUCCGGAUUUAUUGGGUUUAAAGGGUGCGCAGGCGGAGGCACAAGUCAGCGGUAAAAUCGCGGGGCUCAACCCCGCUCCGCCGUUGAAACUGUGUCCCUUGAGUACAGUUGAGGUAGGCGGAAUUCGUGGUGUAGCGGUGAAAUGCUUAGAUAUCACGAAGAACUCCGAUUGCGAAGGCAGCUUACUAAACUGCCACUGACAUUGAUGCUCGAAAGUGUGGGUAUCAAACAGGAUUAGAUACCCCUGUAGUC
rnacentral:rRNA from 1 species